GCUUUUGUACGGAACGAAAAGGUCUGCCCUAAUACNGCGGGCCCAUGACGGUACCNUAAGAAUAACCACCGGCUAACUACGUGCCNNCNGCCGCGGUAAUACGUAGGGUGCGAGCGUUAAUCGGAAUUACUGGGCGUAAAGCGUGCGCAGGCGGUGAUGUAAGACAGUUGUGAAAUCCCCGGGCUCNACCUGGGAAUUGCAUCUGUGACUGCAUCGCUAGAGUACGGUNGAGGGGGAUGGAAUUCCGCGUGUAGCAGGGAAAUGCGUAGAUAUGCGGAGGAACACCGAUGGCGAAGGCAAUCCCCUG
rnacentral:rRNA from 1 species